rnacentral:rRNA from 1 species
GACGAACGCUGGCGGCGUGCUUAACACAUGCAAGUCGAGCGGUAAGGCCCUUUCGGGGGUACACGAGCGGCGAACGGGUGAGUAACACGUGAGCAACCUGCCCUUCUCUUUGGAAUAAGCGUUGGAAACGACGUCUAAUGCCGAAUAUGACCCCCUGUCGCAUGGUGGGGGGUGGAAAGCUCUGGCGGAGAAGGAUGGGCUCGCGGCCUAUCAGCUUGUUGGUGUGGGUAAUGGCCCACCAAGGCGACGACGGGUAGCCGGCCUGAGAGGGUGACCGGCCACACUGGGACUGAGACACGGCCCAGACUCCUACGGGAGGCAGCAGUGGGGAAUAUUGGACAAUGGGCGAAAGCCUGAUCCAGCAACGCCGCGUGAGGGAUGACGGCCUUCGGGUUGUAAACCUCUUUCAGCAGGGACGAAGCGAGAGUGACGGUACCUGCAGAAGAAGGACCGGCCAACUACGUGCCAGCCGCCGCAGUAAUAC